GUCCGGGUCAAACCAUCCUUUAAUGGAGACGGGAGGUGAAGAUCAUUUGCCAGCCAGUCUCCUGCAUCUAAGCUGCGGCUUUCCCCGGACAGCGACGUGCCUCCGGAUGGAGUCAUUUCUCCGGACCCCUUCACCGGCCCCCACCUGCUGCUCUGGAGGGAGAGAGGCCUUGGCAGGCGCCCAGCGGGCCCCUCGCUCGGCGCAGAGGACCUGAAAGGCCAUGCCAGCCCCAAGGCUUUCCCAGAGGAAACCUCGCCCCCGGAUCCGCAGGAAGUGAUAGUCAGGGGCUGGACCCCAUGACGCAGCUGUCUGCUCGGCCGCACGCGAGGCGAGGACGCUGAGGUUUCCGCAGCCGGGCUCGGCCGGUCCCCACUCAGCACCAUGUUCCGAAGAAGCUUCCAUGGGCAGAGCCUGUCGGCUCAGCUCAAAACUUGGGUGAGGUGGCAGCUGCGAGCCGCCCCACCCCCACCCCCACCCCCUCCGGCCCAGGGUCCUCCCCCC